AUUGAACGCUGGCGGCAGGCCUAACACAUGCAAGUCGAGCGGAUGAAGGGAGCUUGCUACUGGAUUCAGCGGCGGACGGGUGAGUAAUGCCUAGGAAUCUGCCUGGUAGUGGGGGAUAACGUCCGUAAACGGGCGCUAAUACCGCAUACGUCCUGAGGUAGAAAGUGGGGGAUCUUCGGACCUCACGCUAUCAGAUUAGCCUAGGUCGGAUUAGCUAGUUGGUGGGGUAAAGGCCUACCAAGGCGACGAUCCGUAACUGGUCUGAGAGGAAGAUCAGUCACACUGGAACGGAGACACGGUCCAGACUCCUACGGGAGGCAGCAGUGGGGAAUAUUGGACAAUGGGCGAAAGCGUGAUCCAGCCAUGCCGAGGGUGUGAAGAAGGUCUUCGGAUUGUAAAGUACUUUAAGUUGGGAGGAAGGGCAGUAAGUUAAUACCUUGCUGUUUUGAAGUGAACAACAGAAUAAGCACCGGCUAACUUCGUG
rnacentral:rRNA from 1 species